rnacentral:rRNA from 1 species
UGGGGAAUAUUGCACAAUGGGGGAAACCCUGAUGCAGCGACGCCGCGUGAACGAAGAAGUAUUUCGGUAUGUAAAGUUCUAUCAGCAGGGAAGAUAAUGACGGUACCUGACUAAGAAGCACCGGCUAAAUACGUGCCAGCAGCCGCGGUAAUACGUAUGGUGCAAGCGUUAUCCGGAUUUACUGGGUGUAAAGGGAGCGCAGGCGGUGCGGCAAGUCUGAUGUGAAAGCCCGGGGCUCAACCCCGGUACUGCAUUGGAAACUGUCGUACUAGAGUAUUGCAGGGGGAGACGGAAUUCCAGGUGUAGCGGUGGAAUGCGUAGAUAUCUGGAAGAACACCAAAGGCGAAGGCAGUCUCCUGGGCAAAUACUGACGCUCAUAUGCGAAAGCGUGGGUAGCAAACAGGAUUAGAUACCCUGGUA